ACGAACGCUGGCGGCUGCUUAACACAUGCAAGUCGAACGAGUGGCGAACGGGUGAGUAAUACGUGAGUAACCUGCCUUAGACAUUGGGAUAGCCUCGGGAAACCGGGAUUAAUACCGCAUAUUCAUAGAUGGGCUCGCGUCUGAUUAGCUAGUUGGUGAGAUAACAGCCCACCAAGGCGACGAUAAGUAGCCGGUCUGAGAGGAUGAAUGGCGACAUUGGAACUGAGACACGGUCCAAACUCCUACGGGAGGAAGCAGUGGGGAAUAUUGCACAAUGGGGGAAACCGGGAUGCAGCGACGCCGCGUGAACGAAGAAGGUAUUCGUAUCGUAAAGUUCUGUCAUAUGGGAAGCAGUACCAUAGAAGAAAGCUCCGGCUAAAUACGUGCCAGCAGCCGCGGUAAUUC
rnacentral:rRNA from 1 species